rnacentral:rRNA from 1 species
UACGUAGGGGGCAAGCGUUAUCCGGAUUUACUGGGUGUAAAGGGAGCGUAGACGGCGAUGCAAGUCUGAAGUGAAAGGCGGGGGCCCAACCCCCGGACUGCUUUGGAAACUGUAUGGCUGGAGUGCAGGAGAGGUAAGUGGAAUUCCUAGUGUAGCGGUGAAAUGCGUAGAUAUUAGGAGGAACACCAGUGGCGAAGGCGGCUUGCUGGACUGUAACUGACGUUGAGGCUCGAAAGCGUGGGGAGCAAACAGG